rnacentral:misc_RNA from 1 species
GAUGAAGAACGUAGCGAAAUGCGAUAAGUAGUGUGAAUUGCAGAAUUCCGUGAAUCAUCGAAUCUUUGAACGCACAUUGCGCCUCCUGGUACUCCGGGAGGCAUGCCUGUCCGAGCGUCAUUAUAACCCUCUCAAGCGUAAUUGCUUGGUGUUGGGGUAGGACCGUCCCCCGCGGCGCUCCGCUCCGAAUUCCAAUGGCAGACGAUGGUGUCAAACGUCAGCGUAGUGAGCAUUUUUUAUCAAAGCAUCGCGAAGCGUCGUCACCCGUCCCGCCCAGAUAAACCCUUCAAUUCCAAGUGUUGACCUCGGAUCAGGUAGGGAUACCCGCUGAACUUAAGCAUAUCAAUAAGCGGAGGA